GAUGAAGAACGUAGCGAACGUGCGAAACGUAAUGUGAAUUGCAGAAUUCAGUGAAUCAUCGAAUCUUUGAACGCAUCUUGCGCUCCUUGGUAUUCCGAGGAGCAUGCCUGUUUGAGUGUCGUGAAAUACUCUCAAUUUCAAUCUUUCUUUUUGGGGGCUUGAAAUUGGAUUUGGGUGUUGUUGUGUUGAUUCACAGCUCAUCCUAAAUGCAUUAGCGAUCUGCCUUCGAUCACACACAAUGUGAUAAGAAAAAGCAUUGUUAGUAUCAAGUCAGGGUUGCUUCGAACCGUCCUUUUGGACAACCAUUUCUAUGUCAUUUGACCUCAGAUCAGGCAGGACUACCCGCUGAACUUAAGCAUAUCAAUAAGCGGAGGA
rnacentral:misc_RNA from 1 species